GAUGAACGCUGGCGGCGUGCCUAAUACAUGCAAGUAGAACGCUGAAGGCGGACCUUGCUCUUCUGGAUGAGUUGCGAACGGGUGAGUAACACGUAGGUAACCUGCCUGGUACCGGGGGAUAACUUUUGGAAACGAUGGCUAAUACCGCAUGACAACAGCUGUUGCAUGAUAGCUGUUUAAAAGGGUCAACUGCUCCACAACCACUUGGACCUGCGUGGUAUUAGCUAGUUGUUGAGGUAACGGCUCACCAAGGCGACGAUGCAUAGCAGACCUGCGAGGGGGAGCAGCCAGACUGGGAGGGAGACAGGGCCCAGAGGCACACGGGAGGCAGCAGGAGGGAAACGGCGGGAAUGGGCGGAAGUCUGACCGAGCAGCGCGGAGUGAGUGAGGAAGGUUGUCGGGUCGGAAAGCACUGUUUUAAGAGAAGAAAGAGCGUGAGAGUGGAAAGUUCAGACUGUGACGGUAUUUUACCAGAAAGGGACGGCUAACUACGUG
rnacentral:rRNA from 1 species